CAUACGCUCCAUGUCGGGGUCAUCGAUGGCGUGGAAAUGCACUAUUCUUAGUAUGAUGAAACUAUUCGUGAUAAUGUUUCUUAUUUUCCACAAAUCAGAAAGUGACAUCAGACAGACAUUCCUUGCCUGCUCUUUAUAGUGGGCGGCCACUUUAAAUCUUCACUUUCACUCUUCCCUCCGAUCACGCUCCUUAUGAUGAAGCUACAUUUUCUGUACCAACAUUAGUUCCAGUUCUCUCUCGUCACUGGAUACAUAGCUCUCAGAUCUCAAACACAAUGAAAAAGUUAAGGUUUUCCAGUUUUCACAGAACACACUUGUUGAGGUUUCAGAAGAAGAUGGUGGCUUGCUCCUCCUCCGAGACACUUGGUAGUGUCCAAGAAAGGGCCCCACUUUGCUGUUGUCCAGGAUCAAGCUUUCUGAGACAGAUGGUGUGUAAGUUGAAGGGUCGAUGGAAUAAAGCUUUGGGAUGGCAAAGAAGAAGCCCUCAUGUACAGUACAGUUAUGAUCAUCAUAGCUAUUGUCUUAACUUCGAUGAUGGCACUUUAAAUGAAGAAAAUUAUUACUGAUAACAUCUCUUCAUUCAAAACUCUCUUUCUUUUUUAUUUUUUGCCUCUUAUUCUUGAAUGAUGUGUAGCUUGUCGUUCUAUAGUUUGAUGGUAUUUCACACUCUGUAAAUGGCAUGAUUAACGAUCUUUUCUUACCGUUGGUGGAAGUUGUUUGUGUAAAUCCACGAAGUUGUUUUUUGUCUUUGUAGGAAGAAAGCGAAAAGCUCACUAGGGUUCCUGCCGUUACUGCUAUCUUCACCUAGAUUAUAACCUGACCAUGAAAUCGACGAGUGAGCGUACCCAACAUUUCACUCCUACUGUUGAUCUUGUCUAUGCCUAAACACUUGAAGUCAAAAGAAGAGCUAGAAGCUGAGGCAGUGAUGGAGUUCCAGGAUACCAAACGCUUCAAGUUCUCAUAUCCGCUAUAGCAUAGUUAGAUCAGGUCGCCUAGGUUUCUACCGUAAAGGUUUCGAUCUCUGACGUCCAGCUUUCGAUUGACACCGUCGCCGAACAAAGGCCGUACCGUCCACUUCAUUUCGAGCCAGUGCCACCAUUGACGUCGUUGUCCUCUCCAUGUUGAGUCGUCGCCAAUCUCGCAUUCUAAAGGGCCAUUGAGGAACCCCAACAGUGGUGAAGAUGGAGAACCUUUCCAUGGUUGAGCUUGAGGGUCUUUCCAAGGAUGGUUUCUUGAUCUCUAAUUAUUUUAAUUUCUUUAUAAUCUGGUUUUGCGGGAUUCAAUCACUCUCUAUCCCUUUCACCUUUGUCAUCAAUAUCUUUUGAUGAGUUUGAACUUUUGGUAA